rnacentral:rRNA from 1 species
UACAGAGGGGGCAAGCGUUGUUCGGAAUUACUGGGCGUAAAGGGCGCGUAGGCGGCCUGUUAAGUCGAACGUGAAAUCCCCGGGCUCAACCCGGGAACUGCGUCCGAUACUGGCAGGCUUGAAUCCGGGAGAGGGAUGCGGAAUUCCAGGUGUAGCGGUGAAAUGCGUAGAUAUCGAGAGGAACACCAGUGGCGAAGGCGAGUCCCUGGACAACUCCUGACACUGAGGCACGAAAGCUAGGGGAGCAAACAGG